UACAGAGGUCUCGAGCGUUGUUCGGAUUCAUUGGGCGUAAAGGGUGCGUAGGCGGCGAGGUAAGUCGGGUGUGAAAUUCCGGGGCUCAACCCCGGAACUGCACUCGAUACUGCUUUGCUCGAGGACUGGAGAGGAGAACGGAAUUCACGGUGUAGCAGUGAUAUGCGUAGAUAUCGUGAGGAAGACCGGUGGCGAAGGCGGUUCUCUGGACAGUUCCUGACGCUGAGGCACGAAGGCUAGGGGAGCGAACUGG
rnacentral:rRNA from 1 species